rnacentral:rRNA from 1 species
UUAAUGGAGAGUUUGAUCCUGGCUCAGGACGAACGCUGGCGGCGUGCCUAAUACAUGCAAGUCGAGCGAGGGUCUUCGGACCCUAGCGGCGGACGGGUGAGUAACACGUAGGCAACCUGCCUGUAAGACUGGGAUAACAUAGGGAAACUUAUGCUAAUACCGGAUAGGGUUUUGCUUCGCCUGAAGCGAAACGGAAAGAUGGCGCAAGCUAUCACUUACAGAUGGGCCUGCGGCGCAUUAGCUAGUUGGUGAGGUAAUGGCUCACCAAGGCGACGAUGCGUAGCCGACCUGAGAGGGUGACCGGCCACACUGGGACUGAGACACGGCCCAGACUCCUACGGGAGGCAGCAGUAGGGAAUUUUCCACAAUGGACGAAAGUCUGAUGGAGCAACGCCGCGUGAACGAUGAAGGCUUUCGGGUCGUAAAGUUCUGUUGUUAGGGAAGAAACAGUGCUAUUUAAAUAAGGUAGCACCUUGACGGUACCUAACGAGAAAGCCACGGCUAACUACGUGCCAGCAGCCGCGGUAAUACGUAGGUGGCAAGCGUUGUCCGGAAUUAUUGGGCGUAAAGCGCGCGCAGGUGGCUAUGUAAGU